CUGAGGUCGCCAGUAGCGCGGAACACGCCAAAUCAGUCCACUGCAGACAGGCAGGUCUGUGGACACCCUAUGAGGUUGGGAGUCACGCGAAGGUGCCGAAUCAGCCCACUGCAGACAGGCAGGUCUGCGGAUGCCUUAGCAAUGUCGAGAGUCACGCAGAACUCGCUGAAUCAGCCCGCUCCCCAGCAGCAAUCCACUGGACUCCCCCACCCCCGUUCCUCUGCCUUCUUCUCUGUACAGCCACCUGGUUUCACACUAUAAAGAUGCAGAGGACACAGGACCACCAGACCACUGUACUGGAUUUGCCAGUUUCUCUAUCUCCCAUUCUUUCUGUGUUGCUACUUGGAUUCUAUAUAUUGGCUUAUCUUUCUCCUCUGUGAAUUGGUUACUAUGACUGAGUUUGUGAAAGAAAUGUAAGAUCAAAGACGAGAGGAUGACUGGACUGUCUGAAUUCACAUCAGUCCCUGGGUGCCAGAAAAACCAGUUUUGAGGAAGAUGUUUCUACUUGUUAUGCAGUCAAUGAAAGCCAUCAAACACAACCAUGG
ensembl:lncRNA